UAUUAAAAUUUCAUCUAUUUCUUAUGUUAAAAAUCGAAAUAGCUGAUAAAAUAAUCAAAUAGUGACAUGUAAUGUGCCACGUGCAUCUUAUGCUGACAUACAAGGACCCAUUUGUAAUAGAAUAGAUGAAAAUUUUAAUA
rnacentral:pre_miRNA from 1 species